AUGGACGCCCCAUUUAAAGGAAGCAGGAAACCUGUGCACAUCCUGAGAACUCGCCGGCCAGAGGCCUGUGAAGGAGCGCAGUGGUCAGGCAGGAGAAGCAGUCGAAUCCAGGCUGAAACCAUCCUGGAGGGUCUUGAGGCUGGCUUACCCCAGGCUGUGAGUACUGGGCUUAGCCUAGUCCCCGCUCCUGGGUUAGUGCUCACGUUCCCCUCUGCCCACUCAGGGCCUGGAGGAAUGACCUCAGAGCCCCCACCAACCAGGCUCAGGAAGGCAUUCCUAGCUCAGAGUACCCUCCUGGAGUCUACAGUGGAAGGGGCUCCUGAGUGGGCUGCCCCACACCGCGAGGAGCAGAGGCGCAGUCCUCCCGCGUGCUCCCAGCACACUCCACCCCUGCCCAGCACACCCAGGGGGCCCCCACCUUGCCCACCUGGGGGGAACCACCCACUCUGCCCCCGCUCAGGGAGUGGUGGUGGCCGCUGCUCUAUCCCCUCCUCUCCCUUCCUCUUCCACCUUCUCUCUCUUCUCAUCUGAGUGCUGGAACCCAAGCGUGAAACUGAGAGUCAGAAAAUCAGUCUCAAGGCAGAGCGGGGCAGCUAAUUUAA